UCUAGGAAACUCAUUCCUUCCUCCUUUCCUCUCCCCGCCCCUCCCCCCUCUUUCCUUCCCUCCUCCCUCCCAUCGUUCCCUCCUUCCAUCCUCCACCUUCUUUCCCGCUCUUUCUUGAAACCCCCUGAGCCAGGCACCGUGCUGGGCCUGGGAGACAGAUGUGAACAAGACACGCACCUGCGGUUUUCAUCUUUUAAAAUCUGGCUUUCAGGUUCUGAGGGCAUGGACACUAACAGGGGUCAGACCAGAGCUGCGGUCUCAUUCUUCUCCUCUGGCUCCCUCCCCACGUUCCUGUCCUAUGAGUUUCCCCCAGGAAAUGUCUUGUGUGUUUUCCCCCAACUUGGCAUCUGCCGGUCUGCUCCUCAGAAGAACCAGCCUACUGCAAGGGGUCAUUGUUUCAGGACCACGGCCUCACCUGCCAUGCCUGAUCCGGGUGAGGCCUGGGGAAGACUCACCGCUUUCCUCUCAAGGCAAGGAAGACGGACAGGUCGAACCAGGGACAUCUUUUCCUUUGUGAGACAACGGACCUGCCCAGAAGUCUCACAGAGAUCUCCUGCUCACGUCUCGCUGGCCUGAAGUGUGUCACGUGGCCAGGUUGCAGGGGAGUCUGGGAAGGGCUCCAGCAUGGAGGUGGGUGAGGGAGAAGGGGCUGUGGUGGGGAUUAACUCAGAUAACGCACAUACCUGGGAAACGGAGGCGUGGUUCCAGCGUCCUGCAGUGAGUGAGCAUCAGCGACAGAGCAGAAACCUGGUUUUCUACCAGACUGGAAGCCCCAUGAGGGGAGGGUUUUUCUUUCUCAUUUAUUGUUCUAGCUUGAUGCCUAGAACACAGAUCAACAUAAGGUGCAGCUCAAUAAAUAUUUGGUAAACAAA